rnacentral:rRNA from 1 species
UACAGAGGUCCCAAGCGUUGUUCGGAUUCAUUGGGCGUAAAGGGUGCGUAGGUGGCGCGCUAAGUCAGGUGUGAAAUUUCGGAGCUUAACUCCGAAACUGCAUUUGAUACUGGCGUGCUUGAGGACUGGAGAGGAGACUGGAAUUUACGGUGUAGCAGUGAAAUGCGUAGAGAUCGUAAGGAAGACCAGUGGCGAAGGCGGGUCUCUGGACAGUUCCUGACACUGAGGCGCGAAGGCCAGGGGAGCAAACGGG